rnacentral:lncRNA from 1 species
UUUAUAUGAAUUGUUGUUUUUACAUUGUUUUUAGGCUUUGAAUUUUUGCCUGUUUAUUUAAGCUGCUUUGAGUCCCCUCGGGGAGAAAGGCGGGGUAAAAGUGAUGUAAAUAAAUAAAUAAAUCUAACCUCAUCCUUCCACACUGGCAGAAAAAGAAGCAGCAAAACUAUAGAAUCUCAAAAGAAACGUAUUUACUUUUAACUUUUGUAGUUCUGGUGUACAUCUGUUUCAACAAAGACCAUUUAUUAAACAAUUACUUCACUAAGGAAGGAGAGAUUAAGUUCACCUUUAAUACAAACUGACCUCAUUCACUAUAAUUAGAAUUUUGUUAUUCUCUCAGUGUUGCAGUUGAGUUCUCUAACAUUAAAAAUAUGUAUCGAGACUGUCUACAAAGGUUCAUACCUCUAUGAAGCAGCAUACACAUGAAAAGACACUGCUUAGGGGAAAAAUAGUACCCCUUAAAAUAAAAAUGUAUAUUUCAUGCAUGCAAAGGUGCAUAGAAAAACAUCCAUAUUUUUAACAAGUUAUAAAAAAAUUGCAAACUGCCUCAGAAAUGGGCCAUGACAAAUGAGUAAAAAGUGCAAAUCUUAUAAAGUAAAACAAACAACUUUAUCCAGACUCCUGACUGUACUGAGCAAGUGGCCAGUAGAAACACUUACAUAGUUUCACAAAUAAAGCAGCUGUCUAGAGUUUUUCUAAUCACACAUGUUCCUACCAAAGCUUAAGCCCAGAACGGAGAGGACUAGUUUCUUCCCAGCUAAGAAACUGCUUAAAGCAGCAACCUGUGUGUUAUCCUGGUGUUUAUGUGUUUUGAUUGUUCUGUGGCCCAGCUCGAGCCGCGAGGAGAGGUGGGUAAGAAAUUGAAUUAUUCUUAUUAUUUCUAUUAUUACCAUUAUUAUUCCUCUGAGGCCGUAAAAAUGUGACUUGCUCAAUGGGUCUGUGUGACUAAGCAGGGAUAUGAACCAUAGUCUUCCACAGCCCUAGUCAAACACUAUACUAUGUAAUCUUUUGGAAAAUGGCAUUCACAACCAUUUGGAGUUCAUAACCUUUUGGAUAAGUUUGAUCUUUCAGAGAAGAGCCAAAAACCCAUUUGAGUAGAAUCUUCUCAUAUGGUAUACAACCAAAUGUAAUAUGCAACACAAUGGCUUCAGUUGUUAGACUGAACCUAUUGUCUCUGAUCUGUUAGGAACAGAGAAUAUAGCAGUGCAUAGAAGCAGCAGAGUUUCAGAGGUGUUUUUCAGUGCCCGAAAUAUAUCUACUCUCCCAUAAAACAACUAGUUUUAUAUAAUGCACUCAAGAGACAGCAAUGAAAUAGUCUUUGGUUUAUUAAUAUCAUAUUUGGUUUAUUCACAACUUCAUGUGUUCAGCAUAACACAGUUACAUAGCUUAUCAGUUCGGUUUCAGAUAUAUUUAAGAUAGUUUCUCUAUGCAGAUGACAUAAGGCAUCUUUCUUACAGCAUCAAGCAAGCAAGAGUUGGUCUCAGCAGUCCAAAGUCUAAGAAAGAUCUAAAAUGGCAUCUGAGGUCUGAGCAGUCUCAGAUCAGAUCACGUGGUCUGCAGCCCCUCCCACAACCUCUCAGAAAACAUAGAGCAAGAGAAGCUUCAUAUCAGAACAUAUAUAUAAAACAGUAAACAAACAGAAUCAUAGAUUAACAAAUUACUAGAGGAGGCUUGAAGAAGGUUCUAAUUUCCAACAUAAUCUGUUGUUACAUUUUAUCCAUUGUAUGGUCUCAGAUAUAUGAAAUAUAACUGCGUAUAAUUUCAUAUAAAUGUGAAUAAGUAAAAUAAGUUUAAAGCAAGAAAUAGGACUGGGGAGGGGCACCAUAAAGGAGCAGAGAUGUUUAGAUGAGAAAGGAAAUACCUCAGGUUUGUGUGGGUGCCAUGACCUCCUUUCCUGGUGUUGUGGGGAACCAUGAAAGUAGGUCUUGCCUUGGCCUAUAGCACACCUGAAUCAAGGGAGAGCUGGCCAGGAUGGAGGGUCUCUAUAGAAACGGAGCAGUGAAGGGUAGGACCAGGGUGAGGGAUAUGUGGAGAUGAGAGGGAAAGCAACUUUCAGAUAGAACUUUGCUUGUAACCAUACUGUAUGAUUUGAGAAAUAAAAGCCUUCCAGUCCGCCUAUGAGGUAAUUUCUUCUUUAGAGAGCUGCAGAGCAGCACAGUGGGGUUAAUAUAACUGCAGUUGCUUCCAGCUUUAUCUAUAUAUAUAUAAAUGUAAUGUUCGUUUUACUAUGGAGUAACCAACAAAACCACUGAACCAAAUCACACCAAAUGUGGCCAGAAAAGACAGUCAUCCAAAAUAUGUCUUUCAAUUAAAAAAAAACCUAGAAAAAUAGUCCAAAUUACAGAGGAUGAGGAAGAGCCUUUCUCCCCCUAACUGCCAAUUAGAAAGGUAGGCUCUGCUGCCUUUAGCCCCCCCCCCCCUUUUGCUGGUUUAAGCCCUGCCCGCUUCGUAUCCUAUCAACUUCCUCAGCCAAAAUGGCACCCAGGGCAGAGGCCGAGUGCACUUAGGCCUGAUCCACACUGCCUAUAAAAUGCAGAUUAUCUGAUUUGAACUGGAUUAUAUGGCAGUGUAGACUCAAGGUCCUUCCACACAGCUAUAUUACCCAUUUAUAAUCUUAUAUGAUCUACUUUGGACUGGAUUAUCUUGAGUCCACACUGCCAUAUAAUCCACUUCAGUGUGGAUUUUAUACAGCUGUGUAGAAGGGGCCUCAUAUAAUCUACUUCUAAGCAGAUAAUAUAAGGUUAUAAAUAUAAUAUGAAAUCAUUACUGUGGUAUAAUAAUACAGAACAAUAUAAUCUCUAAAACCAGGACAAUAAAUAAAGAGCUACACUCUGAAAGCAGGGAAAUUGGGAAUUCCAGAAAGGAAACAAUCAGGGCCAGCUAACACUUCCCAACAAAGGAUUCCUCCCAGGCAGGAAGCAGCCAAGCUUUGAAGCUGCAAGGCCAUUAAAUGCUAAUCAAGGUGGCUAAUUGCAGCAUUCAUACCUGCCAUACUGAGACUAUUAAUUGCUAUUCAAACUGGCCAACCAAGGAUUCUGCAAGGUAGAAAGCGGCCAGGCUUGUAAGCAGCAAGGCUAUUCAGUGCUCUUCAACCUGACCAACCAAGAUUUCCCCUAGGUGAAAAAUCCCCAGGCUUUGAAGCCACUAGGCUACUUUGUCCCAUUCAACCUGGCCUAGCAAAGAUGCCCUAUGUAGAAAGCAGCCAGGCUUUUAAGCUGCAAGUCUAUUCAGUGCAAUUCAAGCUGCCCAAACAAUGAUUCCCCUACAAAGGAAGUAGCCAGGCUUCAAAGCGGCGCUUUGAUUGAGGGUGCUACUCCAGCUACUCUAGAAAACGGCCAGGCUUUGAGACUGCAAGGCUAUUUACUGCUAUUCCACCUGGCCAUCAAAUGAUUCCCAUAAGCCACAGCAACGCAUGGUCAGGCAAAGCUAAUAAUAAAUAAAAGUUCUUACUAGAUUUAAAAUAUGAUCUAAAACAUGAAGUGGUUCACCACCCAUACAGAUAGAUUCCAGUCUCUCCUAACACGCUAUAGUCAUUCUCCUAAUUCCCCCAUCUUUCCUACUACUCCUUCACCUCAGCUUGUCUCACCUUAUAGAAUUAAAUACAAAUAUAAUAAACAAAUAAAUAAAUAAAAAUAAUGAAUGAAUAAAAUACAUAUACAUUUUAAAAACCCUAACAUUGUCCACUAUGCAGAAUUUCCCCAUAGCGUCUUACACUUUAGAGCAUUGACUGCUAUUUCUUUUGUCUCUGACACUUUCUCCCUUCCUAAUCCUUAUCCAUAAAAAUGCAUAUUUCCCUUGAUUAUUAGGGCCUUUCCACAUAACCUAGAAUAUCAAGGCAGAAUAACCCACAAUACCCACUUUGAACUGGAAUAUCUCAGUCCACACUGCCAUAUAUCCCAGUUCAAAGCAGAUAAUGUGGGAUUUGAUUCAGGUGUGUAGAAGGGGCCUUAGACUCUUAGAUACCAAAGGCACCAGAUCUCAUCUGAUCUUAAUAACUAAGCAGAAUCAGACCUAGGUAAUACUUGGAUGGGAGACUGCCAAUGAAUAGCAGUUGUGAAUGAAUAUAUAUAAAAAAUCCACAAGAAGACCUACAAUCUACAAUAAGUUGCAGUUGACUCGAAUUCAGCACAAGUGAACAAUAGCGGUAACUAGCACAAUGAAAACUAAUGGCAUAUCUUUAGAAAAAGCAGGAGCAAGGAAGCCUACUGGGACUGUGGAUCCAUUAUUUUCCCCAGUCUCAUUUUUUUUUUUUGCCAAAAAACACCAGUAAGCAAAUUCCAGGUGCUGUAGGCUAUAUUUCAGAAGAGGAAACUGGUAAAACCAUCUAAAAAUUGUGAUAAAAUGUACAGGGUUGAUGUAAGUUGAGAGAUUACUUGAAGGCACAUAAAUGCACAGAAUACAAUGGAGCCUCCAGAUCCAAAUGUUCCUGAUCAAUGAUUUCCACUGUGGAUCGUCACAUCCCAUACAUAAAAUGGCAGUGGUGCAUACAUGUAUGUGCAUAAUAUCAGACACAAUUAUUUUUUGCCAUCUCAGUGG